rnacentral:rRNA from 1 species
GCUCAGGAAAAACGCAAGAGACGUGCCUAACACAUGCAAAUUAAAUAGUUUAUUAUUAACUAUAGUGAAUUGGUGAGUAAUAUAUGAAAAUUUAAUUUUAGAUUAGAAGUAUUCUUAAUAACUUAGGAAUAAUCUCUGAUAAGCACAUAUAUUUAUAUUUUGCUUUUAAAAGUUAAAACUGUCUAAAAAAAAGUUCAUAUCUGAUUAGCUAAUUAAUAAGAUAAUAACUUAUUAAGGCGAAGAUCAGUAGCUGCCCUGAGAGGGGGAUCAGCCACAUUGGGAUUGAAAUACAGCCCAAACUCCUACGGGAGGCUGCAGUGGGGAAUCUUCUGCAAUGAGCGCAAGCUUGACAGAGCAUCGUCGCGUGAAGGAAGACAGCUUAUUAUAGUUGUAAACUUCUUUUGCUUAAAAGUGAAUACUGACACUUAAGUAAAUAAAGUAUCGGCAAACUCCGUGCCAGCAGCCGCGGUAAAACGGGGGAUACAAGCGUUAUCCGGAAUUACUGGGCGUAAAGCGUAUGUA